rnacentral:tRNA from 1 species
CCCCCGGUAACUCAGUGGUAGAGCGCCUAGCAAUAAAUUUCAGGAGACCGCAGGUUCAAUCUGGCCCGGUGGU